GCCCCGGUGGCACAUCUGGAUAGCGCGGCCCCCUCCUAAGGGGCAGGUAGCAGGUUCGAAUCCUGCCCGGGGCACCA
rnacentral:tRNA from 1 species